UGUGAAAGAACAGCACCAUCUUUGGGAGAAGGUAAUUUGGUCUGCAAAUUCAUUCCCGUCGAUUUCAUAAGUUCAUUGCCUUGUUUACCAGUAGAUUGUCGACGACGAGACAGAGCGCAUGUGUUUAUAUCUAGUAAUUUAGUAGUUUAUAACUUCAUGUAAUUUGUUACCCAAAGACGUGUCCAGGCGAUGCUCAUGCUCGCGUGUUUGUUCAUGGCCUGCUCCGUAGUAAAAUUGCAUGUUCAA